CGGAAGUGGGGAUUUCCAACGCAUUUGAUGACGGGGCAGAGGAGAGCAAGAGGUACCAGUCAGCCAAGACAAUGGACGAGCCGACUUCCGGUUGCUUCGCGCCGACGCGGCCACACACAGCGGUCAUGGCACUAUUUAUCCAGGCCGCAGGGUGGCGCUCGGGUUCGGUCGAUCGAUGGAGGAGAAGCAACGCGAAAGACCGUCAACACAGACGCUGACAAACACCGAAACACAGAGUCACACUGAAGGCAUCAAGGGCUAUUUGAGCAAGAAGGAGCGUGAUGAUGACCUGGCC